CCUACGGGAGGCAGCAGUGAGGAAUAUUGGUCAAUGGCCGGAAGGCUGAACCAGCCAUGCCGCGUGAAGGUCAGUGCCCUAUGGGCGUUAAACUUCUUUUGUGCGGGAGCAAUAAUGGUCACGUGUGGCCAGACGAGAGUACCGUACGAAUAAGCAUCGGCUAACUCCGUGCCAGCAGCCGCUGUAAUACGGGGGAUGCAAGCGUUAUCCGGAUUUAUUGGGUUUAAAGGGUGCGUAGGCUGUGAGGUAAGUCAGCGGUGAAAUGCCCCCGCUCAACGGGGUGAAGUGCCAUUGAUACUGCCUGGCUGGAAUGCGGAUGCCGUGGGAGGAAUGUGUGGUGUAGCGGUGAAAUGCAUAGAUAUCACACAGAACACCGAUUGCGAAGGCAUCUCACGAAUCCGCGAUUGACGCUGAUGCACGAAAGCGUGGGUAUCAAACAGGAUUAGAUACCCGGGUAGUC
rnacentral:rRNA from 1 species